rnacentral:misc_RNA from 1 species
GUAGUCACCCAGGUUGCCGCAAGGCCUCCUGGGUAACCUACCACCCUUUGUUUAUUACACCUUGUUGCUUUGGCAAGCCUGCCCUCGGGCUGCUGGCUCCGGCCGGCGAGCGCUUGCCAGAGGACCUAAACUCUGUUUGUCUAUACUGUCUGAGUACUAUAUAAUAGUUAAAACUUUCAGCAACGGAUCUCUUGGUUCU